rnacentral:rRNA from 1 species
GCGUUACUCGGAAUUACUGGGCGUAAAGCGUGCGUAGGUGGUUUGUUAAGUCUGAUGUGAAAGCCCCGGGCUCAACCUGGGAAUUGCAUUGGAUACUGGCGAGCUCGAGUGCGGUAGAGGGUAGUGGAAUUCCCGGUGUAGCAGUGAAAUGCGCAGAGAUCGGGGGGAACACCAGUGGCGAAGGCGACUACCUGGACCAGAACUGACACUGAGGCACGAAAGCGUG